UCAUAAACGUUCAACUGGUAAAUCUAUUUAUAUCCUAGAUGAACCGACAACAGGGUUACAUGUUGACGAUAUUAGUAGAUUAUUAAAAGUAUUAAACCGAUUAGUUGAAAAUGGU
rnacentral:sRNA from 1 species